rnacentral:rRNA from 1 species
UACGUAGGGUGCGACGUCGAUUGAAUCGAAUCUGGGCGUAAAGCGUGCGCAGGCGGUUCGUUAUGUCCGAUGUGAAAGCCCCGAGCUUAACUUGGGAAUGGCAUUGGAAACUGGCGGGCUGGAGUGCGGCAGAGGGGGGUGGAAUUCCACGUGUAGCAGUGAAAUGCGUAGAGAUGUGGAGGAACACCGAUGGCGAAGGCAGCCCCCUGGGCCGACACUGACGCUCAGGCACGAAAGCGUGGGGAGCAAACAGG